ACAGAAGCACAUACAGAGAAGCUGCAGUGAACGAGUGGAGCGUGUGUUGAAGACCAAUAUGGAGUUUUUUGACUGACCCGUCCAUUUGACCUGAAGGGAAAAAGCAUGUGGAAAAUCAUCUCACCUUGUGCUGGCUGAAUGACUGACAGAGUUAUCAAAGAAACAGAAGAGAGAAAAACAGCUGCCUGGAGAAACAGUGUGAUAGCUUAUUGAAAGGCUGCUGGAGGAUUGUAUCUGAGGGCAGAUGUCUGAGCUGAAAUGGACGGACAAAGAAACCAGGUGGGGACUUUUGUAGAGUUUGGCAGCCCUGUCCCAGCAGAUAAGUCCAAGGCUGAAUUUCUUUCCCAGUCCACCCACGGAACCAACGUUGCUCUGGAUUUACCGAGAUGGAGAGCCCUACAGGCCGCUAAAGGGCUCCACUCUGUCUCUGAACUGGCUUUUCUUCUCGUCAAUGCGUCAGAGCGGCUGCGACUCAUGCGCCAAUUGCUGCCAAGGCAGGGAAGGAUUCUUAGAAAGAGAAAGGCAAGUGUUAUUCUAACACUACCAGUAUCAUUGCCCUUAGGGAUAUGGUGAGGUAUGUUAAUUAAUACAUAAAUCAUAAAUUAUCAUCAUUCCUUAGACUGGGGAACAUGAGCUUCAGACAGUGUGUGUGUGUGUGUGUGUGUGUGCGCGCGCGCGCAUGUUUUUUUGGAUGACUCUGAAUUUGGAAUAGAAGGAGGAGGGGAAAAAAAAAACCUGCUGGUCUCCUCCCGUUCUUCGCCCUCCCUGCCCACACCAGCCCCCCGAGGAGGUGAUCGGACGCGUCUGUUUCCCGGAGAUAAAGGGCUGCUCACCACAUCCCCAGAGCUGGGAGAAGUUGGCACAGAGCACGCUGGCAGUCUGCUCAUGUAACAGACCCUGUCACUGACACUGAGAGAGAGAGAGAGACAGAGAGAGACUGACGGUGAGACAGAGUGGCGGGUGAAAUGGGCUAAAUAAGAGAAGAAAAGGUAGGUGAGAUGUUAAAGGGGUGCUGUCUGGCUCUGCACCAAGAAAAAGAAAAAAAAAUCAUUCAUGGAAACAAGUGUUCACAACAAAACAUAGAAUCCUUACAUUGGAAUUGCAAUGUCAAAAAAAGAAAAUUGUGUUACUUGGAUUCAAAAUGGUACAAAAUUUGUACAAUCAAUCAGUUCUGCUGAACAAAGUAGAGGUUUCACCUAUUGAAUCAAUUGCAACUUUUACAAUUAACUGUCAUCUUGGAUCAUUCACUAAAUUUGACAACACAUGGGGAGCUCAAUGGCCAAAUAGGUCCUCUUACCUGAAUGACAAAAUAGAUGUCUGUCUGUGUCGCCCAAAACAAUCCAUACCAACAUUUCAGAAAUGACUCAGGGGAGCGUUUGCUCAACUUCUACUGCUAUGGUUAAGUUAUAGUUAGCCUAUACUUCAACAUGUUUGGAAUUAUUUGCUUUCUUGCUGUUAGUUAAAUGAGGAGAUUGCAACAAGUCUUCCAAACUGAACAAUCAUAUAGGUCGCUUUUUGAAACCCUCUGAUAUGAUCCAUAGGUGUGACUCCAGACAUAGUGCCCCUACAGCAGCAGGCGUACCUGACCUUGGUUUUCACGUUUACAAUAAAAAACACACAAACUGUACCGACAGUGGCGUACCUACCUUUGGUUACCUAUGGUAACGCUCAUGGCUUGGUUAGGUUUAGGAAAAUAUUGUGAUUUGGGUAAAAAUAAGUACUCCCUCAACAUUCAGUUAUUACAUCACCCAGUUAUGGUUAUAACUAACCCUAACAACAAAACGUAACUAUGGGUCAUGAUAACGUGCUGUACAAAUGACAGUCUCGGAGAUUGAUACCACUGUCAUGUCCGUCCAGUCUUUGUGCUAAGGUAAGGUAUCUAACUGCUGCUGCUACUAGCUUCAUAUUUAUUGAGCAGACAUGAGAGUUACCAAACUUAUGUAACUCUCUGCUCCUCUCGGCUCUCCUUCAAUGAACUAAACUGAAUCUAUAUGGUUAAGAUUAGGAGAAGGUGUUUAAGCCACAUAGUUUAAGCGUUUGAAGAAAAAAUAAAAGAAGAACUGUUGUUUUUCUGAUGAGGAAAGUCUCAAAUAGCUAUAGGCAAGACAAGACAGAGAGAAAAAUCAAUAUUGAUCUCUAAAAUAAAGUGUAAAUGGCAUACAAUGCCGUCUCUUUAGCUUAAUUUCAGCACAUUAAAGUGUAAUUGCAUUAAUCUUUUACUUACUUUCCCAUUUAAGGGCUUCUAAAAUCCUUUUAAGUUUUUCCAUUACCUUGCAUCUAUCCUUAAUAUCUGCCCUCUAAUUAAUUUCGUUAGGUGAGCAAUCUCUCCCAUCUCUUCACACAUGCGUGCAUGCCGGAGGCACAUGAAUCAAAAUACAGAUGUACACAGACACACAUACACACCCACACACACAUAGCUUACACACAAAUCCACUGAGACUAAGCUCAAUAUCGGUCUGGUUACAAGCAUACAACUAUAGCCUCUCUGCUUUCAUUUUCCCAAAUGUAGGUUGUCCUAUACGCUCCACCAUAGGGAAUAUCAAUAGACCAACUGUAGUAUUCAAAGAGAUCAAUACUGUAGAAUAUUGUUUCUCUCUCUCUCUCUUUGUGUCACUCUUUUUCUCCUCAGAUCAUAGGAGGCUUUUUAUGUAGAGUCACUGACACAAAUCCUACAUGCUGCAUUUCCCCAAAACACUAAAUUAGAAUUUUGGUGAUCAAUGGUCUGUGUGACCCAAAUAAAAAAGAUGCCCUUGGAUUUAGGUUGAGGCAGUUGUAUGAAAAAUGAAUCUCUUCACAGUGUUCUACUUGGUGAUGAAGACUUACGGACCUUACUUACAAAUCUUAACAGUUUGAGCAAAAUUUUUAACUGUUUGAUUCUCAGUGAUUGACCCCGUUAAUUAGGUCUUUGGAGAGAGACGGAGACAAAGGACCAGCUGGAUAUGCAAAUCAAACCCAACACAAGUAGAACUAUAUUUACAUUUGGGGACAAAACUAAUUAUUAUGUUACUGGUGUAUUAAAAAUGACUCACAGCUUUGCACAGAGAGAAGGCCUGUUUAAUGUACACAUUCAGAAAUACUAGGUAUUUUUGGACAUUUUUAUGUCUUUAUUAAAAAAGUAUGCAUUACAGAAUUAACAGGAAGGAAAUGUGGGCAGAGAGAGGAAAUGACCUUCUGACAUAAAUGAAUCAAAAUGCAAACUGAAUAAUAACACUCAUUUCAGUUUUGUGCAAGUAGGUGUGUAGUGGGUCUCAGUUGUGAUCCUAAUCUCAACCACAACCGCUCUAGAGAUUUAAUGAAAUUACAUUUUUAUAAAAAAUUAAAAUAAUAAACAUAUAAAAUCAUUCAAAGAAGAAAAGCGGACAAGAAUCACUGUAGCUGUUUUAAUGACAAACUGUAACUCUGUGUCAUAUUGUAAUCACAUAAUCUCAUUUGUAGUAUUGUCACAUAAUUCAGUUUGUGUUAUGUUCACAUGAUUUAUGUCCACCAUGAUCAAUUUGUGCUUCAAAUCUGCCUUAUUAGUUUAGGAAUCAUUGCAUGAAAUGGCACUAAGCCUGUUCCAAUCACUAUAAGACAACAUCAUGUCAUUGCCCUGAGAGCAAAGUUGACAAAAACUGAUACAAACACUUUUAGGUGAAACAAAAAUGAGACUAAUAUUCAUGAAAAUGACUUGUGUCUGGUGUUCUUUGUCCAUUUGGCUCUGUGUUUGUUAUCUGUGUACAAUUAAUUGUAAGCGUAAUCAUUCGAUACACAGCGGAUCAAAGGAUCUCUGUGGGGCCUCUGAUACAAGGGAUACACAUCUCCUAGCUAAUUAUUGAUUGGUUACAACAGUCUCUGUAAAUGGUUGUCAGUGCAGAACAGUGAUAAUAGGCAAAUAAUUGUUAUCAGUGUGUAUUAAUGAUUUUGUUAUGGCGUUUUAUGAGUUGGUUUCUUUCUUUUUGUUUCCCUUGUUAAAAUUUUCUUUCUAAUGAGGGGGUAGAGUGUGCCAAUUGGCAUUUAGUCUUUCAUGUCACAACUUCUAAUUUAGCUUGCUGCCUUGCUUUGAAUCAAUACCCCAUUAUUUGAAGUUCAUUAGAAACCUAUUAUUGUUUGACAGUACACUCAUUAAAAUUGUGACCUGGGUGGAUAAUUGAAUUGCAUGCCUAUUAGAAGAGAUGUAUAGAAUAGUAUUUACUUAUUUAUUUUAAUAAGUUGUUUAUUAGAUUGUUCUGUAGGUUCACUUUGUAACAGUUACAGUUUCGAGACCGUUGUUUGCACUUUUUUCUUUAUAUUUUCAAAGGUGUCUAUAUUACUGCACAUGUCAAUUUACUUCCUUUUCUUUCUUUAGAGAAGUUUUAACCUUGUCAACAUGUCCAUAUGGUGUUUUCUUUUUUUUUUUGAUAGUUUCAUGAAAACAGAGAGACAGCCACAGUUUCAUACACCACACACCUAAGGAACCAAUCCUGUCAACUUGCGGGGAUGGUGGGUGGGCAAAAUAAACCUGACACUUCGUCGGUACAGAGAGUGAGAGUUUGCACGAACACAAGCACUAAUGUUUCAGCCACUGCCAGCUAACACACAACAUAAACAAAUAAAGGAUGCUAACUGCGCUAACUGGUCGAAGCUCAAGCUUAUGGUCAAGGGUGUUCCACUUGACGCUCCCCCUGGAGGCCUGGAGCCCUUCCUUUGUGUUGUGUGAGUAUGCAGCACUUUUCUCUGUUGAAUUGUUCGGGGGGGUUUGUGUGUUUUUUUUUUGUUGUUGCAUCGUUUCUGUAGUUGCAGCGUGUUUGCUGUUAUUGUGUUUGUUUUCGCUUUCUGGUGCUGUUGUAUUUGUUUUAUAUUUUUGCAUUUUUGAAUCUACAUCGUUUAUGAAUUUGCACCUUGUUUCUCCAAUUGGAAAUGUUUUGGGCCUUUGCAGCGCGUUUGCCCUUGUCAGCCACCGUAGGAAAACUAUGUUAAACAAAAUAUUAAUCAUGCAGAGUAUUUUUACAGAGUUGAAAACAUGUCUGGAGAGGAACUAGAAAGUAUAUUUUGAUAAAGAAUGUUUUUGCUUAUUUCAUAACAGGUGCUGAGUUCUUCAAAUCUUUCAUAAUACUUUAUGUAAAUUCUGUUUCAUAACGCAUGCCCUACUCUCGACCCAUGGAUGAUUUGUUUCUUCUUUUCUAUGUCUUAUUUUUUGUUGCAUAACCUUGUCUCACUUGUUUGUCUUUAAUUUAAAAGACUUUUUUGUUUAAAAAAAAAGUGCUGAUAUGUGUUUCAAAUUAGUUCUAUUACACAGUAUGUAUACUGACAAAACACAUUAAUGAAAAUAUUCAUGUAUAAUCUAUGUGUGGCACAGGUUUACAAACUGAUUAAGAAUUAUUUAGCUAUUCAUUCGUCCAUUUUCCACUGUAUUCAGGUCGGAGUCACAGAGAUAACAGCUGACCAGUCAUUCCUUACAGCAGCAGCUUCCUUCGGCUCAUCCUCAGCUGAGGUUCUUCAGGGGAUUCUGAGAAGUGAUGUCUGUCCAGGAUGUCUUGGGUGUGUACCAAAGUCUCUUCACAGUCAGUUAUGUCGGGAACACCUUCACGGGAACAUGCCCAGGGGUGUCUCAUUUUCUGUCUGGAGAAGCAACAGCUCCUCACCCUUCAAUCUGCGGCAGGGAAAUCUACAAUCUUUUUCAGACCGACGGUAUUAAGACCUCAGCUGACUCAAUGUAGAAAGAUAGGGCUGGCAGUAGCAGUGCCGCAGCAGCAACCCUGGCAUUGUGGACACGUGUGCCAGCUGCAGCAGUUCAGUGAGGUAGUCGCCACGUCAUGUGAGGCUUUGUGAUCACGAGGCAGAAACGGGUAAGGCUGUAAGUAGAACAGGAAGAAAACACAGAUGCACCAUAGAAGAUAAGAUGGUGUUGAUCAAUAGCUUCAAAUUCUAAUAGGAUUGACCCCCCCCCCCCCCCCCCCAACCAGCAAAUUGCAUUGAUCUGUAACAGAACAAAAGAAUGAGUGGACACAUUAAUGUUUCUGUUGUAGUCAGCAGUCACUUUGUGUGGGAAUGCAUGAUGUUCUCAUACAGUCAGAUUGUUCUUGUUAUACAAGUUUAGAAAGCAUUCAAUGACACUGUAAAAUCAGGAUAAUAUUGAACAUAAUGGAAAAUAUGCAUGAUUUAUAUUACUUCUGAAAAGCCAUGUUCAGUAUUAUCUAACAUUAAAUAAUGUGAAAAUGUCAGCGACUCCUCAACAAUACUCAGCAGAUGUGGAGUCAUACCUUCGCGCUAAUAAGGAGACAGAGCAUUUUAUGACCUCUUUAACUUUUUCUUUCUCAAUACAACAGGAAAAAAAGUGCAAGAACUUCCUAGAUAACAGAAUUAUGCAUCAAUCAAAUUCAGCGGAUGCAUUUUGAAACUAACCUUUAAAGUCGCUCUGUUCUGCACAGUUAAUUGCAGAGCUGGCGAACUCCAGCAGGGCCAAUAAUUCUCAAGAUCAGGCCACAGGUCAUUGGCUUCAAACGGUUGAGCCAGUAUACUUGAUCAUCACUUUAUGGCUGCCCUCUUCAGCUGUGGAUGAAUAUGUUACAUAGAUGAAACAAUUUACUGUACAGGCCUGGCAGGAAACUGACAACUGUUUCCUCCAAAAUCACACGAACAUAAACACUCUCUAAACACAGUCCCUGAAUGCCUCCUAUAUUGUAUAGCUUAGAUUUAUUUGCGUAGAUAGAUUGUUGGAUGAAAUGCCAGACUUGCUUGUUUACUGUGCAAAGACAAGGGACGGUUCUCAUCUUUGGUUCUUUCACGUCAAGUCUGGCCAUCAGUUAUAAAUAAUAAUAUUCUUUACAGAGUGUUGAAAGUCAUUUCUUGCGGCGCAGUGACCCAGUAUGACAUAUCGACGGAUUGAAGUCAAGGAGUCAGACUGAAGAUGAGUUCAAAACCUACUCUGCUUCCUCUGUCCAUUCGCCAGUGUUACAUGCAGCAUAUUACAUAUUGAAAAGCCUUCAUUUGAAACAUAU